rnacentral:rRNA from 1 species
AACGAACGCUGGCGGCAGGCUUAACACAUGCAAGUCGAACGCCCGUAGCAAUACGGGAGUGGCGGACGGGUGAGUAACGCGUGGGAACGUACCCUGAGGUACGGAAUAACCGAGGGAAACUUCGGCUAAUACCGUAUGAGCCCCGCAAGGGGGAAAGAUUUAUCGCCUUGGGAGCGGCCCGCGUCGGAUUAGCUAGUUGGUGGGGUAACGGCCUACCAAGGCUUCGAUCCGUAGCUGGUCUGAGAGGACGAUCAGCCACACUGGGAUGAGACACGGCCCAGACUCCUACGGGAGGCAGCAGUGGGGAAUCUUGCGCAAUGGGGGCAACCCUGACGCAGCCAUGCCGCGUGAACGAUGAAGGCCUUAGGGUUGUAAAGUUCUUUUACCCGUGACGAUGAUGACGGUAACGGGGGAAUAAGCUCCGGCUAACUUCGUG